GAUGAACGCUGGCGGCGUGCCUAAUACAUGCAAGUCGAGCGAACGGACGAGAAGCUUGCUUCUCUGAUGUUAGCGGCGGACGGGUGAGUAACACGUGGAUAACCUACCUAUAAGACUGGGAUAACUUCGGGAAACCGGAGCUAAUACCGGAUGAUAUUUUGAACCGCAUGGUUCAAAAGUGAAAGACGGUCUUGCUGUCACUUAUAGAUGGAUCCGCGCUGCAUUAGCUAGUUGGUAAGGUAACGGCUUACCAAGGCAACGAUGCAUAGCCGACCUGAGAGGGUGGUCGGCCACACUGAAACUGAAACACGGUCAAGACUCCUACGGGAGGCAGCAGUAGGGAAUCUUCCGCAAUGGGCGAAGGCCUAACGGAGCAACGCCGCGUGAGUGAUGAAGGUCUUCGGAUCGUAAAACUCUGUUAUUAGGGAAGAACAUAUGUGUAAGUAACUGUGCACAUCUUGACGGUACCUAAUCAGAAAGCCACGGCUAACUACGUG
rnacentral:rRNA from 1 species